UAACAUCUUGUCAUCAACACACACAAUGUGAAUCAAAGAACCUUCAGCUGAAAACAGCAGGAACUAAGUCAACUGAUUCUGUUUGUGGGGAACAAACUUCAAAUGUUGUAGUAAUGGAAGGCAAACAAACUUCAAAUGUUGGAGUUAUUGCGGGCAAAAUAACUUCAAAUCAUGUAGUAAUGGAAGGCAUACAAAUUUCAAAUGUUAAAGUAACUGUGGGCAAACAACCUUCAAAUGUUGGAGUUAUUGCGGGCAAACUAACUUCAAAUCAUGUAGUAAUGAAACGCAUAGGAAUUUCAGAUGUUGGAGUUACUGUGGGCACAGACAAAAACAAUCAUGCAGACAACUCCAUAGAGACACCUCUACGUACACGACGAUCAGUGGAAAAAUUGAUGUCAUUGUCAGAGCAGGAGGAGGGCUAACCUGUGUAACCAGUCUAAACUCUCAGAUGAAAUCUGUUCUCUGUGGACUACAUUUGCUCCAGAAUCCAGUUAUUAUUCAUUUGGAUGCUGUCUUCACAGAGAACAGAAAAGACAAAUCAAUAAGAACAAUUUCUGGCUCAGAACAGCCUGCUGACAGUGACAUAUACUGUAGACGUUUUGGAAGUUUUGCAUGUGUUAUGUAUGAAUGGUGACUGAUGCCAUAUUAAUAGAUGAACUGUACUGAUGCCUUUGCACACCACAUAUGCUUGUUUUAAUUGCUGCUCUCUUGACAGACUUAAUAGACAGUGUGUGGCUGUCCUGGUUCUACCCGUAUCCCUUAGCAAAGUUAAGCUUUAACAUGAGUUUUAUCACUAAAUUAUUAAUAGUUUUAAAAAUAAUAAUAAUAAUACAUGAAAUAUAUAUUUGCACAUAUUUAAAACUAUAAAAUGUAAAUGUAAACAUCUAAUCUUGUGCAAGUGUUAACAUCUUCUGUCUGUCCAGAGAGCUCAGAGUACAUGGGCUGAAAAGUGUACAGAUGUUAUAGCUAGCAACGUUUUUAAUCACAUUAAUGAAUAUAAAGUAAAACUCUAGAAGUCAAGCAAAGUGAAUUAAAGCACUGUCUCUAAAACUCCAACUCCAAUCACAUCACUGUAUCCUCCAGUACUGGGCUUUUAACUGGUCUCAAGAUUAGAACAAAAACCCACGGUGAGCUCUCAUUUUAUUAAGGCCCAGGCCUGUUUGUGUUGCAUUUCUUUAUGUAUGAAAAGUGCUAUAUAAAUAAAGUUUGAUUUGAUUUGA